UCUUUUAAUUGAAGGCUUGUAUGAAUGGUUGGACGAGAUAUUAACUGUUUCAUCUUAAUUUUUUUUAGAAUUUAAUUUUUUAGUUAAAAAGCUAAAAUUUAUUUAAAAGACGAGAAGACCCUAUAAAUCUUUAUAUUGGAAUUAUUAUUAUUAUUUAGAUUUGUUUUAUAUUAAUAAUUAAUAAUAUUUUGUUGGGGUGAUAUUAAAAUUUAUAUAACUUUUAAUUUUUAUUUUCAUUAAUUUAUGAAUAAAUGAUCCAUUUUUAGUGAUUAAAAAUACAAGUUACUUUAGGGAUAACAGCGUAAUUUUUUUGGAGAGUUCUUAUCGAUAAAAAAGAUUGC
rnacentral:rRNA from 1 species